rnacentral:rRNA from 1 species
AACGAACGCUGGCGGCAGGCUUAACACAUGCAAGUCGAGCGCCCCGCAAGGGGAGCGGCAGACGGGUGAGUAACGCGUGGGAACGUGCCCUUUGCUACGGAAUAGCUCCGGGAAACUGGAAUUAAUACCGUAUGUGCCCUACGGGGGAAAGAUUUAUCGGCAAAGGACCGGCCCGCGUUGGAUUAGCUAGUUGGUGGGGUAAUGGCCUACCAAGGCGACGAUCCAUAGCUGGUCUGAGAGGAUGAUCAGCCACAUUGGGACUGAGACACGGCCCAAACUCCUACGGGAGGCAGCAGUGGGGAAUAUUGGACAAUGGGCGCAAGCCUGAUCCAGCCAUGCCGCGUGAGUGAUGAAGGCCCUAGGGUUGUAAAGCUCUUUCACCGGAGAAGAUAAUGACGGUAUCCGGAGAAGAAGCCCCGGCUAACUUCGUGCCAGCAGCCGCCGUAAGAC